UCUGGGGACCUGAGUCCCCCCUUUCCACGGAUUACUGGGUCCUAGCUGGACCGCAGGGCUUCACCGAGCGCGCCCAGGAGUCCGUACGUCUCCCGCAUCACCGCCCGGCACAGGGCCCUCUGCGCCGGCCGCAGACACCUCCACUCCUCCGAGGAGAAGUACACGGCCACGUCCGCGAAGCUCACGACUCCUGGGCUGUUUUCUCGCCCGGCCUCCCCGAGCGGCGCCCUAGGAAACCCCUUAAGUGCUACGCCAAGAGAGACUUCUGGAAUCCGUGGAAACGCUAGAGCUUUCCUAGCUCUCUUCUGAAAGGGUCCUUAAAGACCACGGCCCUGCCCUUAACCAACAUGGCGCCUCUCCGGCUUCAACCUCCCUUGCUUUCCCGGUCUGCCCUUAGAUACCAAGGGCAAAACCAGAAGAGAAGUUGGGCCUGCCGGGUCUGAAGCCGUAGAUGACGUGCGUUGAUUGGACAAUGCCGGCGUAGGGGAAGAAGGGAGACUAUGAUUGGUCGCUCCGGAGCGGCCUAUUUGAAAGGCUGACGGAGAAGAUCUGGCUUUUUCAGGACAGGACCUAAAAGAGUGGUGUUGACGUUGGAGGCUACUCCCUCUGCUUACACGAGACUUGUUACAAGCAGGUGCAGAUGUCCCGGGCUUGGAGGAAUGACUCCUGAUUAGCAGCAGACAGGACCAGGAACACAGCUUCCAAUGUGACCACAGCUACAGCUCCACAGAGACAACAUGGAGGGGCCCGAUGGAUGCUGGGCGCGCAGAGUUGCACUGCGGGGGAGGAGCAAUGAGCUUGAAGAGACUGCUAUUUUGUGGAAACUCCUGCCCGAACUUGGGUGAAAGGCACCGGAAGAUGCCUUCGGGGAAGAUGGCGGCGCUGCUACCGCACCGCCUUAGCCUGGAACACAGGCAGCUUCCAGCUAUCGAUUUUAUUGACCGGAGCGCCAUGCCGGCUUCCUAACCUCUUUGCCCUCAAGUGUGAUGGCGCUGCGAUUGGGCUUCACGCCUCUUUCCCCCCCAUUACACGCGCUCAUUGGGCGGCGACCGAAGAUCGGACUUUCUGAUUGGGUGCUGUCGAAAGCGGCCUGUUUGAACGAAGCCAACGGAAGCGUAAGGGCAGGAAGCCGACCCUUCAAGCCGGUGCUUCUGUCCGGUUUUGAGUCCGGCAGCUGCGAGCAGGUGACGGGUCCCUGUUCUCUGGCACGCGCUGCCUCGCCGAGGGAGGGAAGAAUUGGAGUGACGGAGCCACUUCGGCCAGCCCGGGGCAGAGAUUACUCCGGGUGACCUUCUGAGAGAACUGGAUAACUUUCUUGUUGCCCUUUUGGGAGGGAAAUUAACGUUGGCGUUUCCUGUGCGCAGGCACGUUCCCCUAUUAUUAUACAUUUCAUCUUAAUUAUUCUUUGCUGCUAUUGUAUGAACGCGUUGGUGGUCACCAUCCAAUUCUACCGAUGAGUAAAAUCUCAGAGGGAUGAUACUGCUAAUAAGGAGAACAGAGAUUCAAACCCGGGGCUUCAUUCAUACAGCUGAACAUGGCCCGCUGCCCUGCACUAUCCAAAUUCGCUGGUCAACUCAACAGUCAGAGUUACUGGACUGUUUUCAGGUUCAGUGUGAUGCACAUCUCCAUUCCUUAUUUUUACGUGACAUUUGUUUAUGCUCUGAAUGGACAUUAUAGCUGAGUGAGGCACAGAAAUUUACAAAUAAUAACUGAGUCCUGCAAGCAUGUAUGUGAAAGGCAUAGGAAAAUUGCUCAUGGAACCAGUCAGCUCCCACUCCAUCAGUCACUACUUCUGUGUAAGUGUCGUGGGGGGUUUCACCAGUUCAGGGUCAUCUCCCAGGGCAUCUGAGGGCCAGAGAAUAUGCCAUUUGCUACAUACCUCAACUGGUGAUACACACAUCUGUCUCUUCAACCCACUAAUCAAUUUGUUAAAGCACCUAUUAAGGAUGAAAUGCUACCCCAGAGCUGACAAGGCGUGAUGGCGUUUCAGGAAUUCACAAGGUAACAUUGUGAGGUAGUAAGACUUUCUUUUUUCUUUUUAAAAAUUUUUAAUGUUUAUUUAUU